rnacentral:misc_RNA from 1 species
AACGCACAUUGCGCCCCUUGGUAUUCCGGGGGGCAUGCCUGUUCGAGCGUCAUUACACCACUCAAGCCUGGCUUGGUAUUGGGCGGCGGGGUCACCCCCGCGCCCCCAUGUGACUCGGCUGGACGGUUGGAAUCUCGGCGUUGUGAAUCAAAUUCGCCCACGACGACGACCGCCCGCGCCGUUAAACCUUUCUAUUCAGGUUGACCUCGGAUCAGGUAGGGAUACCCGCUGAACUUAA